AAAGGGGAAGAAGCUAAAGUGAAAGAGCAGCUCAGACUCAUUCACGGAACUGAUGGAGAUGUGGCAGGAGACAACAUCUUUUCAAGUGUUACAGAAGCAGAGACCUGAAAGUCUGGAAACCAAGGAUACAUCAGAGAGGACUGUGGCUCAGGUGUCUUGUCCUAGAGCAUGCUCUGGUCUCUGUUAUCAUCUCAUCCUUGAGCCUUGUCUCCUGUCAAGGCCAUUUUGUGCUGCUGGAGAAGAACUUAGAAAUCCUGAACACAUCUACAUUGGACAGUGGCAAAUCCAAAUCCCAUCGUUUACUGGCUGAACUACCUGAGAAAUCCGCAAUUAUGCUAUCUCCAGCUUUUCUCUGAAGCCGGGUUAAGACUUGUUUUCUUCCCUUGCUUUCCUUCUCCUGUGGAUAAUCUGGGAAUGCUUAAGAGGAAUGGUAGGAAAUGUGAUUAGUAAAUGGUUCUGGGGUUAUUCAGUAUUCUGUUUGCGUUUUUGUUUUAUAUCUUAAGUCAAUCACAUACCAUAAUAGGCUAUUUGUCACCACAGAUAUCUGUAUACAUAAAGGAUAAGUAGGUACUGAAUAUACGCUUUUAACAAUGUUCUAAGCAUUGCCAGUGAUAUAUUAUUUUCUUUUAUCUCCUCUGUAUAUCUCUCUAUCAAGGGAGUGUCAUUGGGUGUAUCCCAGUGGAACUGAACAGAUUCUAAUCAACUGCUAAGAAAAGAAGAUAUUACACCAAGACAAGAAUAGCUGCUUGAUAGAAGCUCCUCUGUAAAAGUAUAAUUCUUUGAUGUUCUCUUUUUUGCUAUUGUGAGGUACUGAGUAAAGAUGGUAUUUAAAAAAAAAAUCUAACUUCAGGUAUUUUUCUGUGGACAUAAAAGGCGAGAUUCAUGCCGGCAGGCAAGAGGCUUCUUGGUGCGUCCAUUGACGUGCA